rnacentral:rRNA from 1 species
CAAUAGCGUAUAUUUAAGUUGUUGCAGUUAAAAAGCUCGUAGUUGGAUUUCGGUUAAGAGCGACCGGUCCGCCGUUUGGUGUGCACUGGUUGGUUUUAACUUCCUGUAGAGGACGUGCUCUGGGUUUAACGACCUGGACUCGGAGUCUACGUGGUUACUUUGAAAAAAUUAGAGUGUUCAAAGCGGGCUUACGCUUGAAUAUUUCAGCAUGGAAUAACACUAUAGGACUCCUGUCCUAUUUCGUUGGUCUCGGGACGGGAGUAAUGAUUAAGAGGAACAGUUGGGGGCAUUCGUAUUUCAUUGUCAGAGGUGAAAUUCUUGGAUUUAUGAAAGACGAACUUCUGCGAAAGCAUUUGCCAAGGAUGUCUUCAUUAA